rnacentral:rRNA from 1 species
CCAGACUCCUACGGGAGGCAGCAGUGGGGAAUAUUGGACAAUGGGGGGAACCCUGAUCCAGCGACGCCGCGUGAGUGAAGAAGUAUUUCGGUAUGUAAAGCUCUAUCAGCAGGGAAGAAAGAAAUGACGGUACCUGACUAAGAAGCCCCGGCUAACUACGUGCCAGCAGCCGCGGUAAUACGUAGGGGGCAAGCGUUAUCCGGAUUUACUGGGUGUAAAGGGAGCGUAGACGGCAGUGCAAGUCCGGAGUGAAAGCCCGGGGCUCAACCCUGGGACUGCUCUGGAAACUGCAAAGCUGGAGUGCGGGAGGGGCAGGCGGAAUUCCUGGUGUAGCGGUGAAAUGCGUAGAUAUCAGGAGGAACACCGGCGGCGAAGGCGGCCUGCUGGACCGUAACUGACGUUGAGGCUCGAAAGCGUGGGGAGCAAACAGGAUUAGAUACCCCCGUAAC